rnacentral:lncRNA from 1 species
AAAGUCACAGCUCUGAGAGUUUUCAUUUCUAGUUUUCUGAGGGAACAGAGAGUCCUAAAACUACAAAUAUUUGGUUAACCUGAAAAGAGUUUGUUUGAAAAGUCAACUAUUGAAAACAGUUUGUCUCUGGACGUACAGAGAGAUGAACAACCUCUGAACAAGGAAUGAGAUUUUAUCAUUCACUAAAGGCCUUCACAGCAAAACCAAAUGAACAAAAUGCACCUCCAACAUUUCUCAACUGUCACUCAUGUUACAAGGGAAGAUUAUUAUCCAAGAAGAUAAAGUUCAGGGGAUUCUUAAAGGAAGAUCCCAGAUCAGAUAGAGAUGAGAAUAACAGAAGAUGAUUGAUCUUCUUUACUCUUCGCUCACGGAGGCAGAAGAAUGCAAGGAAGUUCUUUAAAAAGCAUGUAGGCGCACGUUCAAGAAAAGACCUUGGGAUUCGGUUCUCACAGGCUAUCUGCAGGACUGGCUUCUCCACCAAGACUGGACGACUGGGGAGGUGGGAGGGAGGCCACUGCCCAGGUGUGACUCCUGCCGAAAGUGGUGAUUAAGACCAGAGGUAUGAGAGGAUCGGAAAGCUCAGUGGGUUUGAAAGCUGAGACAAGAAUUGGAAAUAAAGAGAAACAACCGCGGUGAGAUUCAGACACCGCGGGGCCACUGAAGGCUCAGGAGAUGUUUAAGGUCAGUCAUGGUCACGGCCAGCAGUUCAGGAAAUAUGUGGGGGCACACAGGCCAGAAUUCCAAAUUUAUGUCCCCAGAGAAAGAACUAGCUGGUUUAAAAGAUUCACAGUUGAGACCGGAAUCAGGUAUGAAAGGGAAAGGAUCUUUAGGAUUCACCAGCAGUCAACAGAGCGUUCACACCAACAGCUUCUGAGAGUAAAGCCCAAUACUGCUUUGCCCAUGCGGUGUCUUCACUUGCCUCCGCCAGCAGUCCAGCUCAGAGAUACCCACGGACUGCAGAGUCUCCCUCAAGACUCUCUGGAGGCCAGAAAUAAGACGAUGCUUCUUAAACAAGCAAGGCUGCUGCUCACUGUGGUCCAUGGACCGGCAUCAUCAGCGUCACCAGAGAACUUGUCAGCAAUGCAGAAUCUCAGGCCCCAUCCCAGACCCAUUGAAUGGGAAACUGCGUUUUUACAAGACCCCCAGGCAAUGCUAUG